CCUUAUACAUACUUUCUUCAAAAGCUUGACAGCUCUGAGGUUGCUGCUGUUGUAUUUACAGAAGACCUAAAAAGAAUAUAUGUUACUAUGAAAGAAGGUUUUCCAUUAGAAUAUGUUGUUGAUAUCCCCCUACACCCGUAUUUGUUUGAGAAUAUCUCAAGUUCUAG